UACGGAGGGUGCAAGCGUUAAUCGGAAUUACUGGGCGUAAAGCGUGCGCAGGCGGCUUUGCAAGACAGAUGUGAAAUCCCCGGGCUCAACCUGGGAACUGCAUUUGUGACUGCAUGGCUGGAGUGCGGCAGAGGGGGAUGGAAUUCCGCGUGUAGCAGUGAAAUGCGUAGAUAUGCGGAGGAACACCGAUGGCGAAGGCAAUCCCCUGGGCCUGCACUGACGCUCAUGCACGAAAGCGUGGGGAGCAAACAGG
rnacentral:rRNA from 1 species